rnacentral:lncRNA from 1 species
AAUGCACAUCUAUCUACUGGGACAAAGAAAACGUAUGAGGAAGAAAAUAGCAGAUGAGAAGAAUCAACCAAAUUCCGGAAGCUGGAAGGCAGAUGCAAGAAGGCCCUUGAAUGAUGCCAGCACCUUGAUAUUGGACUUUCCAGCCUCCAGAACCAUGAGCCAAUACAUUUCUGUUCCAUAAAAAUUACCCAGUUCCAGGUAUUCUGCUAUAGCAGCACAAAAUGGACUAAAACAAUGUUGGCACAAGACUCAGUGCUGGGCCUGGCAUGCAACAGGUCCUUGGAGUGGCGUGCUGUGUGGAUAAUGAAUAUUGGGGAAGGCAUCUCUCUCCAGCCCCUCUCAAGCUUUCUGUAGUCACUGGUCCACUCUGUAUUGCUAUGAAGAAGCUCAAGACCAGCCUGUAUCACUCGGGGUCCUGGCAGGAACCAGGUGCCACACUCAAACUGAGUAAUUGAAGAGGGUUUAAUAUGGGAGUUAUUUACAUAGGUGUGGGCUGGUGUAGCUGCCCAUAUGCCCUCAAAAUCACCUCUACAUGGCAAUAGCUACUUACUGCUAACAGAGUCUCUCUCUCAUUGCUGCAAAUAUUUUCUAGCCAUGCAAGAAACUCAGCCGGUCAUGUUGAACAAACUAAGAGUGCCAGGAAGUUAAUGUCCUGGAAGCAUUGCCAGAGGGGAGGGGGCAGUUAGAUUCCCCAGCUUCCUCGCUCCUCUGCUGGGUUAAGCCUGCAACAUAUUCAUCAUCUCCCAGAGUGCUGCCCAGGGAUAGAGCUCCAGGUGCUCAGUGUGGUGACCUGCUCAUGUCAGCUUCUUCCCCUUUCCUGUCUUGUUUCGCACCCACAUCCUUCCCAUGUUUCCUCUUCCCAAAUAAACUACUUGCAUUGAAAUCUUUGUCUCAGGCUCUGCUUCUGGGGAAACCUGAAC